CUUAAAGGAAUUGACGGGGACCCGCACAAGCAGCGGAGCGUGUGGUUUAAUUCGUUGCUACACGAAGAACCUUACCUGGGUUUGACAUAUAGGUUGUAGGGAACUGAAAAGGGACCGACCCUUCGGGGAGCCUAUACAGGUGUUGCAUGGCUGUCGUCAGCUCGUGUCGUGAGAUGUUCGGUUAAGUCCGCUAACGAGCGCAACCCUCGUCGUAUGUUAUAUGUGUCAUACGAGACUGCCGGUAAAAGCCGGAGGAAGGUGAGGAUGAUGUCAAGUCAGCAUGACCUUUAUAUCCAGGGCUACACACACGCUACAAUGGUCUGUACAAUGGGUAGCCAAGCCGCGAGGCGGAGCCAAUCCUGAAAGCAGGCCUCAGUUCAGAUUGCAGUCUGCAACUCGACUGCAUGAAGCCGGAGUUGCUAGUAACCGCAGGUCAGCAAUACUGCGGUGAAUACGUUCCCGGGUCUU
rnacentral:rRNA from 1 species